rnacentral:rRNA from 1 species
GUCUGAUGUGAAAGCCCCGGGCUCAACCUGGGAAGUGCAUUGGAAACUGGCAGACUUGAAUGCGGGAGAGGGUAGUGGAAUUCCUAGUGUAGGAGUGAAAUCCGUAGAUAUUAGGAGGAACACCGGUGGCGAAGGCGGCUACCUGGACCGAUAUUGACGCUGAGACGCGAAAGCGUGGGUAGCAAACAGGAUUAGAUACCCUGGUAGUCCAC